GCGUUGGUGGUUCUGUGGUAGAGUACUCACCUGCUACGUGGGUGACCCGGGUUCGAUUCCCGGCCAACGCA